rnacentral:lncRNA from 1 species
GGGGUGCCCGGGAUGCCCGCAGCCCCCCGGCCACCCCCCGCCGGUCCCGUCCCGUCCCGCACUCACAUGGCCGCCGCCGCCCCCGCCCCGCCGCCGCUGCCUCUCGGCUGCCUCCCGGCUCUGCGGCUCCGCUCCCGCUGCCGGCGGCUCCUCGUAGCGCGGGGCGGCUGCUGCGGGGCGGGGGGGGCGGCGCCGCUACUGAGCAUGCCCGCGCCGCGCCUCGCCUCACGGAGCGGCCCCGCCGCCUCCCGCCCGGCUCCUGUCAGCCCCGCUCGGCCUCGGCGGGGAGGGGAGCCCCGAGCGCCGCUGCCCGCAGCUUCUUCCUCCCUCACCUCGCUGGGAAGGGGGGAAAAAAGAGGAAAGAAAAAGCAAAGAGGUGGCGCGGUUCCACCUGCGCUGUCACGGGGGAUAUCAGCUGGGUCAGGGCUGCUGUGUGCUGCCGCAACUGGAGGCAUGGCUGCAGAGAUGCUCCAUUUCUGGGAAAGUUUCCUGUAUCUUAAGCCUACCAGACCUGAGAGUUACAGAGGUACCAUCACGCUGUGCAAGUAG